rnacentral:rRNA from 1 species
UACAGAGGGUGCAAGCGUUAAUCGGAGUUACUGGGCGUAAAGGGCGCGUAGGCGGUUAUUUAAGUGAGGUGUGAAAGCCCUGGGCUUAACCUAGGAACUGCAUCUUAUACUGGAUAACUGGAGUACUGUAGAGGGUAGUGGAAUUUCCGGUGUAGCGGUGAAAUGCGUAGAGAUCGGAAGGAACACCAGUGGCGAAGGCGGCUACCUGGACAGAUACUGACGCUGAGGCGCGAGAGCGUGGGGAGCAAACAGG